CUUGGCACUAGAAGCCGAUGAAGGACGUUACUAACGACGAUAUGCUUUGGGUAGCUGUAAGUAAGCGUUGAUCCAGAGAUUUCCGAAUGGGGGAACCCAACACAAGUUAUGUUGUGUUAUCGACAAGUGAAUUCAUAGCUUGUCAGAAGGCAGACCCGGAGAACUGAAACAUCUUAGUACCCGGAGGAAGAGAAAGAAAAUUCGAUUCCCUGAGUAGCGGCGAGCGAAACGGGAAGAGCCCAAACCAAUAAGCUUGCUUAUUGGGGUUGUAGGACACUCUAUACGGAGUUACAAAGGAAUAUAUUAAACGAAUCAUCUGGAAAGUUGAAUCAAAGAAGGUAAUAAUCCUGUAGUUGAAAAUAUAUUCUCUCUUGAGUGGAUCCUGAGUACGACGGAGCACGUGAAAUUCCGUCGGAAUCUGGGAGGACCAUCUCCUAAGGCUAAAUACUCUCUAGUGACCGAUAGUGAACCAGUACCGUGAGGGAAAGGUGAAAAGUACCCCGGAAGGGGAGUGAAAGAGAACUUGAAACCGUGUGCUUACAAGUAGUCAGAGCCCGUUAAUGGGUGAUGGCGUGCCUUUUGUAGAAUGAACCGGCGAGUUACGAUCUGAUGCAAGGUUAAGCAGAAAAUGUGGAGCCGUAGCGAAAGCGAGUCUGAAUAGGGCGUAUAGUAUUUGGUCGUAGACCCGAAACCAGGUGAUCUACCCAUGGUCAGGUUGAAGUUCAGGUAACACUGAAUGGAGGACCGAACCGACUUACGUUGAAAAGUGAGCGGAUGAACUGUGGGUAGCGGAGAAAUUCCAAUCGAACUUGGAGAUAGCUGGUUCUCUCCGAAAUAGCUUUAGGGCUAGCCUCAAGUGAUGAUUAUUGGAGGUAGAGCACUGUUUGGACGAGGGGCCCCUCUCGGGUUACCGAAUUCAGACAAACUCCGAAUGCCAAUUAAUUUAACUUGGGAGUCAGAACAUGGGUGAUAAGGUCCGUGUUCGAAAGGGAAACAGCCCAGACCACCAGCUAAGGUCCCAAAAUAUAUGUUAAGUGGAAAAGGAUGUGGCGUUGCCCAGACAACUAGGAUGUUGGCUUAGAAGCAGCCAUCAUUUAAAGAGUGCGUAAUAGCUCACUAGUCGAGUGACACUGCGCCGAAAAUGUACCGGGGCUAAACAUAUUACCGAAGCUGUGGAUUGUCCUUUGGACAAUGGUAGGAGAGCGUUCUAAGGGCGUUGAAGCAUGAUCGCAAGGACAUGUGGAGCGCUUAGAAGUGAGAAUGCCGGUGUGAGUAGCGAAAGACGGGUGAGAAUCCCGUCCACCGAUUGACUAAGGUUUCCAGAGGAAGGCUCGUCCGCUCUGGGUUAGUCGGGUCCUAAGCUGAGGCCGACAGGCGUAGGCGAUGGAUAACAGGUUGAUAUUCCUGUACCACCUA
rnacentral:rRNA from 1 species